AUUGAACUGUGCGUCACAAGGAGACUUAUUUCGUACUCGUUUUCUUACUUGUGGAGAAAUCCACUGACUUCAAGUUGUUCCUGUCCUUCCUGGGAUUUUCACAUCAUGACAGUUCCAGAAGUCUUAAUUUUUGUUUUCUUCCCUAAUUUUGCUGUCAACAUGCUGGAAUAAGGACAACAGAUUUAGAAGAUAUACUUAGUAUUUUGACAUAUUAAAUACAACUGCUCUUUGAAGGUCUUUCCACUCUGUCCAGAGGAACUGGGUGCUCCUGGUGUGUCUUCACUCACGACAUUCAAGAGAAAAAUAACAACCCCAUGAGAGUGUCAGGAAGAUAAAUUCAUUAAUAUCUGUGGAGACUAGAGCACUACUAUGAGAGUACUAUGGGAAAGCCCAUGAGAAAAUGAGUGAUUCUCUAUUCAGUGCUGCAUUUGGAUGGAGAGCAGUAAAUAAUGGAUAGGGCAUGCAUUGAGAGGUGAGUCUAAAAAGAAAUAUUGAACAACUAUCGAUUCAUUGUGCUCUGUUCAUGUUUUCCUGGUCCUUCUCUCUGCACCUCCCAUGGAGUUUCUUGAGUUUAAUCUCAUCUGAUUUUAGUUUAUUAAAUAAAGUAUCUAGUGUGCUUCCCCUGUAGCCAGUGAAAAGAGAAAGGUACCUUAGGAAGCAAUUCAUCAUGCUACCUCUGACACCUGGGUUAAAAUGAGUUGAUCACUGUCUGGGGUGUCUAUCUCUUUUCCUGGACUCACACUGAUGGAGUGCAGA